rnacentral:ribozyme from 1 species
GUGUUCCUUAGUUCUGUAAAAGGGUUGGAUCCCACGCCCCUAGGAGGCUACUAUAGGCUCUCCUUCUCAACUCUUACUCAAUACGUCCACAACGUGCAGAACGGUAACUUGUCGCCUAGAUAUUAGUGAUGGGAAAAACGGCUCCGGG